GCGUCAAAAAGACAACAUGGGUAAAACUCAAAGCAAGCGUUCAGUUGAUAUAACCACCGAAGCCAAGAAGAAUCCAGAUGAAGAUGUUACCGGCAAGUUGGAAAAAAUUGAAGAUCUCGAUCAGAAGCAAGUGAAUGGUGAUGCUAGUUCUCAGGAGAAUGCUGAAACGGAGAAAAAGGAGGGCGAUGAAACCGAAAACGAUAAAGACUUGACAACCGAAAAGAGUGGCGGCGAGAGUGGUGCACAAGACGGUGGUGGUGAUAGCAAUACAGGACAAAGUAAUGCAAAUGCUGCGGAGUCUAAUGCCAAGGAAGAUGAAUCGGCUGCCUCAAAGGAUGGCAAUAAAACGGCUGAAGAAAUAUCACCGCUCUCGGAUGAGGCUAACAAAAAGCCCAAGAAGGAGAAGGUCAAAAAGAAAUGGUCAUUCCGCAGCAUCUCGUUUGGUAAGAAGGAUAAACAAAAACCAGCUAAGGCCGAAGAUGCAGCAGCUGAAAAUGCGGCGGCCACAAAUGGUGAAACCGUAGCGCAAGGAGGCGAGGGUGCUGCUACAGAAGAGAAUGCAGCUGGUGAUGCUGAGCAGAAAAAUUCGAACGAGAAACCCACUGAAAAUGGUGAAUCAUCGGAGAAAGAAUUGAAUGGCGAAAAGUCGUCGUCAACAACAACACCAACUGAAGAGCAACCAGCUAAGGAAAUCUCUUCCAACGAAAAUACCACCACCACCACCACCAACAACAUCACUAACAACACCAACACCACCACCACCGAAACAAUAAGUUCAGUCGUAAUUGAGAAUAGCUCAAACACCACUGCCACUGAAACUAACCAGACUGAGAAGCAAACUAUUAACAACACUGCCACUACUUUAGCCGCAGAGACUCCUGAAAGUGCACCAGCCGCCGCUGCUACGGUCGUAGUGAGUAAUGGUGAUGCAAUUGAAAAGAAUGGCAUCGACACAUUAUCGACCGCCGCUGACCAGAAAGAUCAAGUUACAGUUAAAGCCGCCGCGGACUUGAUUGCUGAAACGUCCGAUGUUGCCGAUAAAAUCAAAAGCAUUCCAAAUGUUGUUAACGAGUUGUCCGAUAACAAUGGUGUACAUCAAAAUGGCACGAGCGCAAAUGGUGAAGAACUUGAACCAGAAAUUGAGUCCAAAUCACAAGUUGAGGUAAUAUUCCAAACAGAUAAAGCUGCCCACACAGAUGAAUUAGUUACUUUGAAUACCGCUACUACUUCCUCCUCACCCAAUACAACCCCUAUCUUAUCCCCUGACCCCAACAACACUGAAUCAACUGCGUGCGUAAGCAACGAUAAUGACGCAUCAUCGUCACUAAAGAGCAGCAGCGAAAAUGCAAUUGCAUUCGUGACUGAUAAAAAACUUGAAGAAGAAAAGGAAGAAGAAGCAACAGCAGCAGCUAUUGUUGUUGAGAGCUUAACAAGUGCUGUAGUAGAAGAUGUGGCUAUGCAGACAAAAGAAACUGUAGUAGUAGAAGUAGCAACUACAGUUUCAGACGUCGCAGAACAAACUGAAGCCGUCGUUACUGUUGUUACAGGUAAUGUAGAGCCCAACGUAGUAACGGAAGGUCAAGAGAACACAACUGCAGCUCAAAACCACAAUGAAAAUGAAAUUGGAAUUGAAGCAACGUCUACGGCACAAAGUGUAUCGUCAAUAGCUAAUGAAUCCCCAAAACCUCCUCCGCUACCUGUUUCCCCACCACCCUCACAAGUAUCAGUCUUUGCAUUCAAUGAUAACGAUCAAACCGCCGAUGAAGAACUUUGUGAUACUACCGAACAGUUAGUUGCCGAUGACAAAAUAUUAGCACCAACAACAACAACAACCACCGAAACAUCACAUGCAGAUAUCGAGAACAUAACCACUGAAGACAAAGACACCACCACCACCACCACCACACAAACCGAAAUUGUGGAUAUUGCAGCUGAAACGACCGCGCAGUCUCUACCAGCCGCAUCUGAUGUAGAAACAACUAAGACACCAACCAACAGCGAUAUCGUUGCGCCAAGUGAAUUGUUGGAAGCGCCAGAGACCAUAAAUGAACCAGUUGAAGAACUACCGCUGCUUGAUAUUGUGGCAGCAGAGAAAGAUCUCUCAAAUAUCAAUACAACAGCAGAAGUUGCUAUAGUUCCUCCUGAAGAGAUUUCGGAAAACACUGAAGAUCAAUGUGUAAAGGCGGCCACAGCAGUGGUAGAUGAGAUAACCGAAAAAGCUGUGGAGUUGAUUCAACAACAAAACGAUAAUCAACAACAAGCGGAAAUCAAUCAAUCAGCCGAUAAUAUAACAGCAACAACAACUGAAGUUACUAAGACUGAUGAUGUCGAAAUCGAAGUUAAUAAUGCUGAUGAUGAUGAUAAUGAUGAUGAUAUUAAAAAUGUUGAAAUUUCUAUGCCUGCGAAAGACAACGCAUUGGAUGAAGUAAUUGAAAAACUGGAGGCGGCUCAUAUACAAAGCGUGGAAAAUACAGAUUCCGACAAACAUACAUCCUUGAUUCUUGAAUCAAACAUAAAUGAUUGCUUGAAAACGACUGAUAAGCACAUAGUGGAGGAGGAGGAGGAUAGGGAUUUGGCUGCUGAAAUUUGUAGUCAGGCUGUGGUCAGCGUUAAUGAGAAUGACAAUUAAUGCUGUGGCGUCAAAACAAUUGUAACGAUUUAUAAAUACAGCACACUAAAUAUAAAAGAUUGAUAAAAUACGAAAAACGAAAACGAAUACAUUUGCCGUUUGUGCAUCCAAGGAUAUUACUAACGCUAAGGACCUAAAGGAGAGCGCUGCGGCAGAGGUCACAACACAGGAUCUUCCCGUUAUAUGCGAAUAAUCCUACUCAUAAUUAUAUUA
rnacentral:misc_RNA from 1 species